GAACGCUGGCGGCGUGCUUAACACAUGCAAGUCGAACGAAGAUGCCGGAGUGCUUGCACUUUGGCAGACUGAGUGGCGGACGGGUGAGUAACGCGUGGGUAACCUGCCUCACACAGGGGGAUAGCAGUUGGAAACGACUGGUAAUACCGCAUAAGCGCACAGCUUCGCAUGAAGCGGUGUGAAAAACUCCGGUGGUGUGAGAUGGACCCGCGUCUGAUUAGGUAGUUGGUGAGGUAACGGCCCACCAAGCCGACGAUCAGUAGCCGACCUGAGAGGGUGACCGGCCACAUUGGGACUGAGACACGGCCCAGACUCCUACGGGAGGCAGCAGUGGGGAAUAUUGCACAAUGGAGGAAACUCUGAUGCAGCGACGCCGCGUGAGUGAAGAAGUAUUUCGGUAUGUAAAGCUCUAUCAGCAGGGAAGACAGUGACGGUACCUGACUAAGAAGCUCCGGCUAAAUACGUG
rnacentral:rRNA from 1 species